UAUUGACUGUUUAACGAUAAACUUGCGACGAUCGACGCGCCACCACAUUUCAUAUAACGGAGGGUAUUAGAACUAACUUGGAGGUGAUGAUUUGGAGGUUAUUUGGUAAUUUGUGUACGAUAGUGAAAGAAGAUUUGCCAUGUGUAUGAGAUAGAUUGAAUAAUUGUAGAUCGUAGUAGACAUUGAAUAAAAGGUCUUCUUGUUUUGAUCGUAGUUCUGAAGUACAGACGUGUUUUUAUUAUGAACCUCCGACACUACAUUUUGGCGACGAGGUCUAAAUUAGGAUAUUGAGAUUGGUGUAAUUGGAAUAUUUAACAGUUAGUGAACUAGUGUGAUUGUGUGAUGAUUGUAUUUUGAUGUUACUGAUAUUGGAAAUUGGUAAGAGUUGUUAGCUUCCACCGUUGGACAUCGAAGGAAGAUUUUGAAUGGCAAGCAUAAGACUAAUGCACAUAGACGACAGUUGAAGGCUGCCUGCGAAUCUAAACGAGGUAGAACUGUGAUCCAACUUCCAAAUUCAACGAUGAAUAAGCGCAGAAGGGAGUCGAUCGAAGAAGAAGAUGAUUUCCGUGGAUUUUCGGAAGAUUCGAGGCCGGAAGAUCUUCGUGCAAAUAAGAAGUUCAAGCGAAUGAGGAGCCCUAUCAAUACGCGAUCCAGAACUGCGCAUAUCAGCUAGGCAUGGAUGUGCUGGAGCAAGAAGUUUGAAUUCGGAAGAUUAAAGUGAUUUGAAUUAUUGAAAUAUCCUAUCAAAUUUUGUGAAUCAAUAUUAUGAAUGUUUUAUUAUUGUCUUUUCUUAAGGAGGGAGAACUGUAGUGUCUACCCUGUUCUGAAUCAAUUAUUAUAACCGUGUUAUCGAUCAACAUGAAAAGAUUACUGAGAUGAGAGUACUGAAUAAAGAGCUAGCUCAGUCUGCUCAGUCUAGAACUAGCCGUUGCAUGUGACGGAGGCAAAUCUAA